rnacentral:lncRNA from 1 species
CCUCCCCGCCCUUGCAGUGUCCUUUAGUCCUUCGUGAAUAAAUCGAAAUUAAAUGAAGCAAAUGCUUUUUUGAAGGCAAAUUUGGUGCCAAGGACCAUCCUAAGUGAUUCAGAUGGCCUCACAAGCUGCUUUGACCUCAAGCAAACACAGAGGAAUGUGGGGGACACAUCAUAGAAGACACUUCCUGAUGAAGAGGAAGGAGGGAUAAACAGGAACACCGUAAAGAAAAGAAGGGAUCUAAUUCCAGCUUGAAGACACACAUUUUUUUCAUCGUUCACCAGACAGCAGGACACGGGCAGCAGAGUGCAGACAUCAGAAACAGCAGAAGCAACUCAAGUGUUCAACAAAUAAAUGGAUAAGCAAAAUGUGGUAUGACCAUGCCAUGGAAUAUUAUUCUGGCAGAAACAAGAAUGAAGUACUGAUACAUGCUACAACAUGAAUGAACCUUGACAACAUGCUGAGUGAAAUAAGCCAGACACGAAAAGACAAACACAGUGUGAUUGUAUUUAUGUGAAAUAUCUAGAGUAGGCAAAUUCAUAGAGACAGAAAGUAGACUUGAGAUUACCACAGGUUUGGGGGACAGGGAAUCUG